CUGAUGCUAAUACCCGAUAUGGCGAGAGCUGAAAGAUUAAUUGCCUGAAGAUGAACUCGCGUCCGAUUAGCUAGUUGGAGUGGUAAAGGCACCCCAAGGCGAUGAUCGGUAGCUGGUCUGAGAGGAUGAUCAGCCACACUGGGACUGAGACACGGCCCAGACUCCUACGGGAGGCAGCAGUGGGGAAUUUUCCGCAAUGGGCGAAAGCCUGACGGAGCAAUACCGCGUGCGGGAGGACGGCCUUUGGGUUGUAAACCGCUUUUCUCAGGGAAGAAGAUCUGACGGUACCUGAGGAAUCAGCAUCGGCUAACUCCGUGCCAGCAGCCGCGGUAAUACGGAGGAUGCAAGCGUUAUCCGGAAUUAUUGGGCGUAAAGCGUCCGCAGGUGGUUGGUCAAGUCUGCUGUCAAAGCGUGGAGCUUAACUCCAUAAGGGCGGUGGAAACUGAUUAACUAGAGGAUGGUAGGGGUCACGGGAAUUCCCAGUGUAGCGGUGAAAUGCGUAGAUAUUGGGAAGAACACCAGCGGCGAAAGCGCGUGACUGGGCCAUUACUGACACUCAUGGACGAAAGCUAGGGGAGCGAAUGGGAUUAGAUACCC
rnacentral:rRNA from 1 species